rnacentral:lncRNA from 1 species
GAAAGGUAGGUGUUCGGCAUGUCCCUUGCUUGCGAACUUCUUUAGUAGGGCGGAGGUGCCAUUCCUCACGUUUACCGUUGUCCCCAGACUUCACUCUUUCAACACUUGUAUACUUUCUAAAGAGUCAGGCAUGCCCCUGUCCCUGUCUCCAAGUGUGUGAUCCACCGAUUCACUGAGUGACUUUUUCUUACCGCUGCGCUUACGUCCCU